AUUGAACGCUGGCGGCAGGCCUAACACAUGCAAGUCGAACGGUAACAGGAAGAAUCUUGCUUCUUUGCUGACGAGUGGCGGACGGGUGAGCAAUGUCUGGGAAACUGCCUGAUGGAGGGGGAUAACUACUGGAAACGGUAGCUAAUACCGCAUAACGUCGCAAGACCAAAGAGGGGGACCUUCGGGCCUCUUGCCAUCGGAUGUGCCCAGAUGGGAUUAGCUAGUAGGUGGGGUAACGGCUCACCUAGGCGACGAACCCUAGCUGGUCUGAGAGGAUGACCAGCCACACUGGAACUGAGACACGGUCCAGACUCCUACGGGAGGCAGCAGUGGGGAAUAUUGCACAAUGGGCGCAAGCCUGAUGCAGCCAUGCCGCGUGUAUGAAGAAGGCCUUCGGGUUGUAAAGUACUUUCAGCGGGGAGGAAGGGAGUAAAGUUAAUACCUUUGCUCAUUGACGUUACCCGCAGAAGAAGCACCGGCUAACUCCGUG
rnacentral:rRNA from 1 species